rnacentral:lncRNA from 1 species
ACAAGCCCCCUUCCGUUCUCUGUGUCCACGAGCUGCUCCUCCAGACUAUUCAACCAAGUUCUGGCUGUGGUUGCCCCAGGGAUACUACAAGGGCUCGACUCACUAUUCACAUGUCAUAUUGUCAGGGUUUUCCCCAAAAUAGGUAAAAUAUGCCAUAAAUCAUGUAACAAAACAUGUCACAAUUUGUCACAUUUGCAACAUUUCCAAAUGUCAGUGUCAUCUCCCUGGAAAAUAAGAGAGGCAAGUAGGUUUUUUAAAAGCUAGCCAAAAAUGGUGGUGGUCUGUGUAUUCAGAGGUGGUUCUGUGGCAGGGUUCUUUCCUGACAUGACUUACAGUACCAUUUGGGCUCUCCCAAGGCCAUAAAAAGAGGAAGAGAAAAACCUCAGGAAGAUUUGUUGUAGGCACUGAGGAUGUCCAGUGAAUAAAUGUGAAUUAUUACUGCCAGAAACUUAAUUCUACAGAGUUAGACUGGAUUGUUAGCACAUGGUCAAAAAUAAUGAAAAGGAAGACAGCCAUGGUGACAAGCAUAGCAGAAAUGAAUGGACCAAGAAAAACAACCAGGUAGUAGCUGAGCACCUGCACCUGCAAAGCAAGCACUGCCUUAAAAAUGGGAUUUGGUGUCAUCUAUACUUGUGUCCAAUUGCUAUGUUAAAAGUCUGUUCAAUUAUCAGUAAAUGAGUAAAAAUUACAGAAAGGAACCUUAUACAUCAUGAUUUUAUUAUGCCAGAUUUCUACAAUAUAAUACAAAUAUACAUAACAUUAUGGAAAGGACCUGUAUCACUCAAUAUGGGUGCAAACCUAUUUUGGGACUGACAGCGUGGUGUGAUAAGGGGAGCACUGGAUGUGGAGCCAGGAGACCUACACCUUGCCUCAGCUCUUCCCCUUUCCAGCUGGGGGACAGGUCACCUAGCCUCUCUCUUUCAAGGUGAUGGCAAGAAUACCUUUGGUCCUCACUUCUGAUGGUUAUAAUGAAGAUCAAAUGGGAGUAUGUGUGUAUUUUGCAAAGCCUUUUUUCCCUCUUCCCAAGGAAUUCCACCCAUGCCAAUGACUUUAAAAUCUUCAAAUAUCAAUUAAUGUCUCAAUUUGUCUAUUUGUGGGCUCUUUUGUAAGUCUCAGAGCUCUAUCUUUAUCUGCCUCUGGAUAUCUACACCUGGAGAGUCUUCAAGCACCUACAACCAGUAUGUCCAGUGGGAGUGGCCCUCCUUCUAAACCCUCUCAAACACUCAUUCUCACACAUGCCCAAUCCUCCCUGUACCCCUUGCUUUCUUUAGCGCAUAACACAAACACACCAUGUUGCACUGAUGUAAGCUUCUGUCAAAUCAGCCCCUUCUUUUCUAUCCAGGCUGUCACUCUCCUAGUAGCUGUAGCCUCAGAAUAAGUCUUCCCACCUCCAAUCUCUCCACUGCCUCCACCCCAAUUCAUUCUUUACAUCAAAAGGAACUUUCACAAAUGGAUACCUGAUCAUACCCCACCCUGAGCAGAACUGUGUAAUGACUUCCCAUUACCUUUGCAAUGAAGCUCAAAUACCUUAACUUGACCUACACAUGACUCAUGAACCCAUCCCAGGUGGCAUUUCCAGCCUCAUCUCCCCAACCCACAUCCCACUCCCCAAGCUGUCCAGCUCUAGCCAUACUGAACCAUUUCUUCAGAUCCACCAAACUUUCUCAAGCCUCUGUGCCUUUUCCCCUGUUCUAUCUAGCCUUCCUCCUAGUGUCAACAGAGAGACUGGUAAGUGCAUGAACUCUGGAAACUAAAUGCGUGGGUUCAGAUCUUAUCUCUAUCCAUGAUAUGAUAACUGCCUUGUUUGAGGUUCACUCAGAUGCAGACUCUGAGACAAGGACUCAAGUGCCAGCAGUUUAUUUGGAGGUUUAGGAAAUAUCAGUAGGGGAGUGGGAAAGUAAAAAGGGAAGAGAUAUCUCCCCAAUAACAAGAAUGCAAUCUAGCCAGCCACCUCUGUGCAUGGCUCACCCUUUACCCCACAAGGAUACUCUGAGAAAUAGUAAACUAAUGCUUCAUACCACCUAAGAAUUAUCCACCUGAAAACCACCUGAGAGGCAAGGUUCUUAGGUUAUUAAUACACAGUUCCUUUUUGUUCCAGCUUUAGUGAGAUAUAAUUGACAUACAACAUUGUGUAAGUUUAAGACAGACAACAUGAUUUGAUAUAUACUGUACUGCAAAAUGAUUAACAACAAUAGGGUUAGUUAACACCUCAUCACCUCACAUGAUUAACACUUUGUGUCUGUGUGUGAUGAGGAUAUGUAAGAGCUACUCUCUUAGCAAUUGUCAAGUAUGUAAUACAGUAUUGUUAACUAUAGUCAAUAUAUUGGACAUUAGAUUCCAAGAACUUAUUCAUCUUAUAACUGGAAGUUUGUACCCUUUGACCAACACUUACUCUGGUUAGGGAAGGCACUGUUAUGUCUUCCCUGCAUACACGCUUCUGCCAAAACUACCAUCCUAGGACUCAUAGCAUGUGUUACCCAUUAUUGUGGUAUUCUACACAGUAUUGCUUCUGAUCAAGGAACUCAUAUCUCAGCAAAAGAAUCAUGGAAUUCACUGGCAUGACCCUGUUACCACCAUCCUAAAGCAUCUGGCUUGACAGAACAAUGGAAUGACUUUUUGAAGAUUCAGUUACAGUGACGCAAUACCUUGCAGGGCUGGGGCAAUGUUCUUCAGGAGGCUAUGUAUGCUCUAAUUUAGCAUCUAAUACGUAGUUAUAUUUCUCCUAGAGCUGGGAUUCGUGGGUCCAGGAAUUGAGGAAUGGAAAUAGAUAUAGUACCACUCAUUAUCAGCCCUAAUCAACCUGAUAAUUAAUACAUCUAGCAAAAUUAUUGCUUCUCAUCCCUAUGACCUCCCAUCCCCAGCAGAUCUCUCUCUGCUAGUCUAAAGGUCUAGGUUUCAAAGGGAGGAAUGCUUUUACCAGGAAAUACAAUAAUGAUUUCAUUGAAGUAAAACUUAAGACUACCAUCUAGCUACUUGCUCCUUAUGGCUCUGAAUCAAGAGGCAAAGAGAGAAUUCCUGUACUGGCUGGGGAAAACCAAAUUGCUACCACACAACAACAAAAAAAAAAGGCAGUAUAUCUGAAAUACAAGUGGUCUUUUAGGAUCUCUUUUAGUACCACCAUGCCCUUUGAAACUACAACAACCCAAUUCAGGCAAGAACACUAAUGGCCCAGAUGCCUCAGAAAUAAAAAAUGUGUGUCACUUCAUCAGGCAAAGAACUACAAUAAACUAAGGUACUUGCUGAGGGCAAAGAGUAUAUGGAAUGAGUGGUGGAAGAAGGUAGCUAUAAAUACCAGCUACAACCACAUGACCAAUUACAAAAGCAAGGACUAUAAUGGUUAUAAAUACUUCUUCCUUAUUUUGUUAUGAAUAUAUUUGUAUGUGUUUUAAAAAAAUAUGUUUGUCUUCUACCCUCUCUUAUCCUUUAAUCAUCUAAGAUAAGAUGUAUUAAUUAUAGUUAACUUUAUAUCACAAUAGUUAAGUUAUAGAAUAUCAAGGAUAAAGGUGAACACACACAAGGACUCUGUAUCCUCUACUAGGAAAGGGUUAGUAUGUUUCCACUGAGUAGUUGUGUCAUUUUAGAUGGAAAUAUGACUUUGUUAUUGUCUUUUUUGGAGAUUAAGUAUGGUUUAAGGAGAUGUGUAAAGGUGCCAAGAUGACAGUAUGUGGACUGUGAUGGUCAGUUCUAUGUGUCAACCUAGCUAGGAUGUAGUCCCAAUUAUUCAAUCAAACCUUAAUCUAGAUGUUACUGUGAAAGUAUUUUGUAAAUAUAAUUAGCAUCUACAAUCAGUUGACUCUAAGUAAGGGAGAUUAUCCUAAACAAUGAGUGAUCCUGAUUCUGUCAGUUAAAUGGUUUUAAGGGCAGAAUUAAGGUUUCCCUGAAGAAGAAAUUCUGCUUGUGGCCUGAAGCUUCAGCUCAUGCCUGAGAAUUCUAGCUAGACCUUCCUGAUAGCCUGCCCUACAGACAGAUAUACAUAAACACAUUGUAUAGAUAUAUAUAUAUCUAUCUUGCUUGCACAUAACUACCUUACCAAGACGUACGAGAAACUGGUAUUGUCAUUUGCCUUCUGGGAGGGAACUUGGUGACUGGAAGAUAGGGGAGGGAAAACAUUUUUCACUGUAUACCCUUUAGUAACUGAAUUUUGAACUAUUUGAAUGUAUUCGCUAUUAAAAUGUUUUCUACUUUUUAAAAUUUUGAAGUGAUAUAAUUUCUUGAGAGAACAUGAUUCUAAUUCUCACUGGUUUUCUAUUUCCUUUUUCAUAUAUUCAGGUCUUAUCUAUGUCCACUGAGGUAGACUGCCCAAAACACAGUUUGUAAACACACAACUUUCAAACUGUGACUCCUUAAAAUCUAUCCAUAUCUUGAAAGGUUGAAUGGACAACAAUCUUAAAAGACUUUGAGAGUUGUUAUUUGCCAAACUUUGCUGCUAUAAGCAGUAUGAGGGAAUUCAUAAAAAUAAACCUGUAUAGGGAGAAUCUGCUAGUUGCUUUAACAUCAUGUAUAAAAAUAUUGUUGAGAUUCACUUUGAAAUGAGCAAAACAGGAGACAGGUGAGUGCUCAAUUGCAGCCCAAUAGGGAGCCCCAUUAUACUACAUUAUAGAGUAAUCAUUUAGUGUUUCCUGGGAUUUUAGAAUGUCAUUUGAAGCCAUGUAACAUUAUGGUGAUGCAUUGACCAGGCUCAAUUUCUGUAGUGGAAAUGGCAGAUGUUGCCAUUUUAAAAAUACACCAUUUCUGGAGUUCCCGUCGUGGUGCAGUGGUUGACGAAUCCGACUGGGGACCGUGGGGUUGCAGGUUCAAUCCAUGCCCUUGCUCAGUGAGUUGAUGAUCCAGCGUUGCCAUGAGCUGUGGUGUGGGUCGCGGACGCAGCUCGGAUCCUGCAUUGCUGUGACUCUGGCGUAGGCUGGUGGCUGCAGCUCCGGUUCGACCCCUAGCCUGGGAACCU